CGGCCGGCCAACGCUGCGCCCCGCCCCCUACCGGGACCUAGGCGCUGAUUGGCCCCUGAGAGACCCUUUGCGCCCAGGCAUUGGUCCAGUGGCCGCCUGUCGACGAGGGGGCGGGACUCCGAGGGGUAGCGAUUCCCGUAACGCGGCUCUUCGCGUCCCGGAUUCCGGUGGCUGCGUCCGCGUCGCCUCUCCCAGACUAGAUCGAAGGGUUCCCCCCACCUCCCCUCUGUGGGCGGAAAGAGCGGAAUGUUCCAUUUUUCUGUGGAAUAACGGGGUCAUGAACUGGAGCCCGGGUGCUGCCCGCCGCCCGCUGCCCCCGCCCUCCCUUCUCGCCAGGGCGCCUGCGGCCUCUCUUCGCGGCCUUCCCCGAGGGACUCAGAGCCGCGAGGGACCGCCUAGCUCCCUUGGGGAUGGGGAAGGCGUGGGAGCCUCUUGGGGAAAGUGAAGAGCUCGGUGGCCGUGACUCCGCACGAGACUGCGGCAGAUUGUGGCGGCGGCUUCUCUCCAAGACUUACGUAAACGAGCCUUGCCACAGUACUUUUUUAAAUUAGUAAAUGAGUUUGGGUGCGAUUGAUCAGUGAGCCCCAGAGGUGGUGGCCCACCAAGCGACUAGUGUUUCUUUGCGGUUUGUACCUCCCCGUUUAUGAUAAAAAAUACCGGGUAAAAACCUAUUCAUCCCGCCUCCGCCCCCCCCUUUCCCUCAGAAAAUGGACCUCAAGGCUCAUGAUGUUUGUUUCUCCCCAAAGGAAGAUGAGAAUCUUGAGUUAAAAGAUAAGGCAUGAUUUACGGAAUGGCCAUCUUCCAUAAUUAACAAAUAAAUAAAUGAAAUUUAAUGUCAGGGUCAAAUGAAACUGGAAACAAAGCUUAUCUGGUGAUAUAUCAAAUUAUGAGAGUCAUUAUUUGGAUGUAAGGAUAUAUGACAGAUAGACUCUUAGGAGAAAUGCUAUGACCUCCUGCUUCUUGGUAUUCCUUGUGUGAUUUCCUCCUCUUGAGUGUGAAGGCAUGUAUGUCAUUGAGUUAUAUAAGAUAGUGCCCAUCUUGCUAGUGUCUCUCUCUCUCUUGUGGCUCUGAAAAAUCAAGCUGCCUGCCAUGUUUGAGCUUUGAUAUGGAAAGACCCACAUGUUAAGGAACUGAGGGCAGACUCUGCCAACAGCUAGCUUUGAAACUGAAUCUCCCGGCCAGGCACAGUGGCUCAUGCCUUUAAUCCCAGCACUUUGGGAGGCCAAGGUGGGUGGAUCACAAGGUCAGGAGUUCAAGACCAGCCUGGCCAAGAUGGUGAAACCCCAUCUCUACUAAAAAUACAAAAAUUAGCUGGGUGUGGUGGCAGGCACCUGUAAUCCCAGCUACCCAGGAGGCUGAGGGAGAGAAUUUCUUGAACCCAGGAGGCAGAGGUUGCAGUGAGCUGAGAUCACGCCACUGCACUCCAGCCUGGGUGGCAGAGCGAGACUCCAUCUCAAAAAAAAAAAAAAAAGAGAGAAAGAAACCAAAUCUCUCAGUCCUACAACCUCAAGGAACUGAAUUUUGCCAACAAAAGCAGAUCCUUCCCCAGUCAAGCCUCAGAUGAGACAGCAUCCUCAGCUAACAACUUGUUUGCAGCCUCAUGAGAACUGAAGCAGAGAACCCAGCUAAACUGUGCCUAGACUCCUGACCACAGAAACUGAGAUAAUAAAUGUGUGUUGUUUUAAGCUGCCAAGUAUGUGAUAAUUUGUUAUGUAGUGGAGAACUAAUACAACAGGGAAAAGUUAAAAGCUAUUCACAUAAAUAUUUAUAAUGGAUACUAUUUCUACACAUUUAAAUCAAGCUUCUCUUACGUUCAUAAGAAGAUACGAAUCUGGAGAAGGAAAUUAUAUCAAGCAGAACGCUGCUCUGGUGUUGUGAAGACGGGAUCCCACCAUUCUAAUGUAUUCAAUUUAUUUAUUCAAUAAGUUUUGAGCAUCAACUAUGUUCCAGGCACUGAGAUAUUAAUCUAAGGAAGACACACGUGUUGUCCUCAUUGAGGAGCUCAAAAGUCUAAUACAUAAACCAACAAUCAUACAAAAAUCAUAGCCAUGUUACAGUGCUAUGAGGAAGAUGUUAAGAGAAUAUUCUGGAAGUACUCAUACAUAAAUACUUCAGAAACUGGGCAUUAUAAGAAGUCAGUUGCCUCUCUCUACUUUCAGUUCUACAUUUUUAUACCUUGUAGUGGAUUUAAAAUGGCCACAAAUUCUUCAAUACUCUUCUAUGGAGAGAUUUGAGGGCUAUUUCCCUUCAUCUUGAAUUUAGGCAGGCUUGUUCAGGGUCUGGCUUUUAAGAGGAGCUUUCACCUUGGUCUGUGGAAGUCCUGAGUCACUGUGUACAAAGUCCAUCUACCUUAUUACACCAUCUGGAGAGAGCUGAGACUACAGGGAGAGGGGGAGUGGCCCGGCUGAUCCCAGUCUUCCUAGUGACCCUGCCCAGGAACUUGGCAUGUGAGUAAAGCCAUCUUGGAACCUCCAUACCAGACCAGCCACGAGAUGAAUAAUACUAACUGAUCCCAGUCAAUGCCACAUAGAGCAGAAGAACUGCCUAACUGAAUUCUUUCCAAACUGCUGACUCAAAAAUUUGUAUGGUAUAAUAAAAUGUUUGUUUUAAGUCACUGUUUUGUUAGGAGUAAUAAGCAACCAGAAUAAAAUUCUAAUCUUUAUCAUGUACCGUGCUGAAAAUCUGACCAUCUCACUCUCCUUAAAACUCCGUCAAUCCCUUCCCAUUACCCAAAUC
rnacentral:lncRNA from 1 species